GAAGGGUGCUACAUACAGUAUCAGGGUCCAGGAAGUGGGAGCAGAUCUGAGGUGCAAGAGUGCGGGCAUCUUUCGGGCUGAAGCCCAGAUCAGAGAGGUUGUGAGUGUCAGAACUUUGCCGUCGGUGUAGAGGAUUCCUGAAGGAGGACGAAGGUGAGGAGUGGGGACUCUCAAAGGCCUAUGGAGAAGAAGGAGAGUGAGAUGAAGCAGAAAAAGCAAAAAACAGAAUCUUCUCACCACAUCCUGCAGAAUCUUGAUCCUGACUUGGUGAGCUCGUCGCUUGGCACUUUCGAUACGCUCCUCCAGUGAUGGCGAAGGGUUUCUCAAGUGUUCCUCCAUCAAGUCCUGAAACAGAUUUGUCAGGUGUCUUUUGCUGGAUGAAGUUGUGCAGCGCUCAGAUAGUGAGUGAUGAGGGGCUUUGUUAUUGCACAAGAAUUCUCUUUGUCCUUUGAAUAAAACCUUUUCAAAAAGAACCCCCUAAAAUAACAGCAUUAAAACUUGAUUAGCGUGUGACCA